rnacentral:rRNA from 1 species
CCUACGUGAGGCAGCAGUGAGGAAUAUUGGUCAAUGGGCGCGAGCCUGAACCAGCCAAGUCGCGUGAGGGAGGACGGCCCUACGGGUUGUAAACCUCUUUUGCCGGGGAGCAACGGGCGUCACGGGUGGCGCCACUGAGAGUACCCGGAGCAAACGCAUCGGCUAACUCCGUGCCAGCAGCCGCGGUAAUACGGAGGAUGCGAGCGUUAUCCGGAUUUUUUGGGUUUACAGGGUGCGUAGGCGGAUCGUUAAGUCAGUGGUCAAAUUGAGGGGCUCAACCCCUUCCCGCCAUUGAAACUGGCGCUCUUGAGUGGAAGAGAAGUGUGCGGAAUGCGUGGUGUAGCGGUGAAAUGCAUAGAUAUCACGCAGAACCCCGAUUGCGAAGGCAGCAUGCCGGCUUCCGACUGACGCUGAAGCACGAAAGCGUGGGGAUCGAACAGGAUUAGAUACCCCAGUAGUC